GUUUUUCGCUUGAAGAUGAGUCCGCGUGAGAUUAGCUAGUUGGUGAGGUAAUGGCUCACCAAGGCAUUGAUCUCUAACUGGUCUGAGAGGAUGAUCAGUCACACUGGAACUGAGACACGGUCCAGACUCCUACGGGAGGCAGCAGUAGGGAAUAUUGCGCAAUGGAGGAAACUCUGACGCAGCGACGCCGCGUGAGCGAUGAAGGCCUUCGGGUUGUAAAGCUCUGUCGCAGGGGAAUAAGAAAGUG
rnacentral:rRNA from 1 species